rnacentral:tRNA from 1 species
GCGCCUGUAGCGUAGCCUGGAUAGCGCGACUAAAGAAUAGCUAAGCCUAUUUUUUCGUGAGAGCCUUCUAAGCUGUAGAUCGAGGGUUCAAAUCCCUCCAGGCGCG